rnacentral:rRNA from 1 species
UACAGAGGGUGCGAGCGUUAAUCGGAAUUACUGGGCGUAAAGCGUGCGUAGACGGUUAUUUAAGUCGGGUGUGAAAGCCCCGGGCUCAACCUGGGAAUUGCAUUCGAGACUGAAUAGCUAGGGUACGGUAGAGGGGAGUGGAAUUCCCGGUGUAGCGGUGAAAUGCGUAGAUAUCGGGAGGAACAUCAGUGGCGAAGGCGGCUACCUGGCCCAAUACUGACAUUCAGGUGCGACAGCGUGGGGAGCAAACAGG